rnacentral:rRNA from 1 species
GCUUUAGGUGGGUCAAGGGAGCGUAGCUCCUUGUCACAAAGACGGACUUUGUUCGUCUGCGAAGUUAUGUAUAGAGUGUUUUUCGGUGUAGGAUGAGACUAUAUAGUAUCAGCUAGUUGGUAAGGUAAAGG